AUGGCGAGCGGCGACACGUUGGACGAGUUUGCUGGCAAGCUCGGUGGCAUGGCGGCUCGCUAUGCGGCGCUCGGUUCGACACUGGAGGAUGCCGCAUUGGUGAAGAAGCUGCUCGACUCCGUGCCAGACCGCUUGUAUGCGGCGGUGGCCGGGAUCGAGCAGUUUUGCGACGUUUCGACGAUGCCGUUCGAGGAAGCACUCGGGCAGCUGAAGGCGUUCGACGAACGGCUCCGACGGCGUGGACAGACAGACGGCGAGCGAGCGGACGGCGCUCUCAUGUUCACGGUGGCACAGUGGCAAGCCGCGCGGGGUGAUCAUGUGUGUUCUGUUGGAGUCAUGUCGUGGCCCGUAAGCGGAGAGCGCGUCGUGGGCGCGAGCAUGGCGGGCAGAUCGCGGGCGCGAGGGGGCAGGGAGCGUGGGUGCGUGCCCGGUCGCUGGCUCCGGGUAUAA
rnacentral:rRNA from 1 species